rnacentral:rRNA from 1 species
GAUGAACGCUGGCGGCGUGCUUAACACAUGCAAGUCGAACGGAAAGGCUCCUGCUUGCAGGGGUACUCGAGUGGCGAACGGGUGAGUAACACGUGGGUGAUCUGCCCUGCACUUCGGGAUAAGCCUGGGAAACUGGGUCUAAUACCGGAUAGGACCACAUUUUGGAUGGUGUGGUGGAAAGUUUUUCGGUGUGGGAUGAGCUCGCGGCCUAUCAGCUUGUUGGUGGGGUAAUGGCCUACCAAGGCGUCGACGGGUAGCCGGCCUGAGAGGGUGUACGGCCACAUUGGGACUGAGAUACGGCCCAGACUCCUACGGGAGGCAGCAGUGGGGAAUAUUGCACAAUGGGCGCAAGCCUGAGGCAGCGACGCCGCGUGGGGGAUGACGGCCUUCGGGUUGUAAACUCCUUUCGCUAGGGACGAAGCGUUUUUGUGACGGUACCUGGAGAAGAAGCACCGGCUAACUACGUG